rnacentral:lncRNA from 1 species
AGUGUGAUUGGAGUAGCAGAAGAGACUAGAAGAUGGGGAUGAAGAAGGAAUCGGGUGAGAGCAAAGGAAGGCCGUGAAGCCAUUGUCAGAAAUUUGUCCUUUAUCCUGACUGAGCAGAAGAAACACUGAAGGAUUUUGAGCAGAGGCAUGUCUUGAUUUCAUUUCAUUUUUAGAGGUAUAGAUAAUUCAGGCUGCUAUUUUGAGACUCGACUGAGAAGAGGUGUGUACUGGUUUCUGACAACUUCUGAAGAUUGCGCCAUUGGACUAGAGAGAAAACUUCCAGGACUCUCAUUGAAGAGGCACCCGUUUCCUACAGAUGUGUCCCUCCACUCUUUGAAGCCGAGGGCAAAAUCAUGCUGAAGACCUAGAAAUCCCACCAGUCUGAAGACCAGCUGCAACCACAAUGGGUUAGCCCUUUUCAGGUGCUGCUGACCAUUCAUACUAAUCUGUCAAGUUAGCUGGUGUUAAGCCAUGGAUUCUUCAUACUUAGAGAAAACCAGUCCCUUUGGGAUCCCUCCAAGGAAAACAGUGAUUUUCUUGUGAACCCUCGGACCGGCUUAAGUUAACAUUCAAAGUCCAGUCAAGGCCCUAGAUAAGACUUCAGAAAGGGAACAUGCACUUUUCAGGUUAUUCUUCUCUCCCAAACCCUGGUUCUUUGCAUGCAAGAUAUAAUGAAUUAGGAAGACUUUUUCAUAGGCUUAGGAUUGUUCUCUUGGAUUCCCCAGGAGAUCUGUUCCAUAUUCUUUGGUAUUUUAAAAUUUGGUCUAUCUAUCUUAUUAAUCAUCCAAUCUCAAUGUGGCUUAAAAUGUUCUUCUGAAACCAAAUAAAGGUACAAAGACCAUGGUGCUCCAACAAGCUGGAUGGCAGCCAGGUACUCAUGAGUACUGACAAUUAUAGGUGUGAAAUUUUCAUUUCUCAUCAUUAUU